AUCUUUGCGCAUGGGGCAAUGACACAGUUAGUGAAGUGAAACCGAGACGCGUCAAUUAUUGGUUGUAAACUAUUUCCAAACUAUGAUUCCAAUAAGAUGUGAUUACAGGAGGUUAGAUUUCAUUGUAAAUCAGUUGA
rnacentral:snRNA from 1 species